rnacentral:snRNA from 1 species
UUUUCGACAAAUAUUCUAAAAUUUGGACGAUACAGAAGAUCAGCAUGGCCCCUGCUCAAGGAUAACACGCGAAAUUAUGAAGCAUUCCACAUGUUA